AUGUUUCAGAUGUGGAUAGGAGGGACACAUGGCUCGGGAGUGUCCUAGAGCACCUUUUAUGGGCCAGCCCCAGCAGACAGCUUCUGGUAGUGUGGCACAGCCAGCAGCUCCAGCCACAACUCAGGGCAGUGGCAGAGGUAGAGGGAGAGGGGCAGCCUCUUCUUCUGGUUCCCGAGGUGAAGGUCCAUCAGCUCCAGCCAGGAUCUUCACCAUGACACAGCAGGAGGCUAACACAUCCAACACCGUGGUGUCAGGUAAUCUCAUCAUUGGGUGUUCUGA
rnacentral:lncRNA from 1 species